GCAGGGUUUGAAUAAGCUGUAGCUUUUAUUGCACAUUCCUGUUUGGUCUUGCAACGACCUCUCGUCUUUUUUAUUUUCUUUGAAAUCCAUGAUCUUGGUCUUGUCCGAAACCCUUUGUGUUGUUAUCUGGGGGGGGGGCUGGGGCCUGUGAGGGGGUGAUAGGAACCGAUAAAACCAGGUCACAGGUCAGACCCCGGUGGGUGUAAUUAAAGCAACACAGAGGUUGUACUGGGACUGAGAUCAUGAGACCAGUAAGGGGCGGGGCACACCUCCGCUUCAGCCCAUUGGAGGGUGAUGAUGUCAAUCAGGGGACAUAUUUCUGGAACGAUUUCAUAAUCCUACUAUUGUGUCUAUUAUGUGUUGCUUUCCAUAUUCAACAGACAGCAACCUUAAUAGAAAGUUUGGUGUGUAGUCCCCAAGAUGUGGACACAACUCCCUGCCAGAACACUGACGCCUGGGCUAUCAUUCAUAGUUUUGUUUCCUUCAGUUAUUUUUUCGUUUCUAUUUCUUCUUCGGUGACAAUCCCUGCGACAUGCUUUGAAAAUCUUCAUUUUGGCAAACCACAAAUAAAUUAAAACACAAACAUUCAUAAAACACAAGGUGACAUAUUCAGGACACUUAGAAAGGAGAAAAGAAGGUACGUACAGAACAGAUAAAAGAAGAGGGAAGAAGAGAAGCGUUUGCUGUUGAAUUUUGUUUGUCCGUUUUUUCUUGCUUUUCUUGAAAAAAAGAUCUAGCUAGCUACUACACUCACAUAUCACAUGCAGAUAUAUUACAACAUAACCUGUUUAGUGUCUUUAAACUACCCAUCUAAACUAGAUCACAAAAUGAUUCUCUUGAGACCAGCAACACACUCAAGUUUUUCAGAUAUUUUGUCAUAUAAUAAUUCAUUUUUAAAUGGUCUCCUUUCGCUCGUAGGCCAAGAGAACACAAUACAACCAACCCUGAAAUGAAGCGCCAAGUUAAUAGAGGACAAACACACAUGACCACAUACCAGAUGGUGCUAUGUUUCUCUUUUCUUUUUUUUAACAAAGAGGGCGUG
ensembl:lncRNA